GGGGUUUUCCUCCCAGCAGAGGGCUGCAUUCCACGGUAGUCAGGGAGACCCAAACAAUCUACUCAUGUGUAAAGCCACUGCUGGGAAAUGAAGACAGGAGAGUCAGCAGGGGCUGUGGAAUUUGGACUCGCAGCUUAGAAAAACAAACAAAAACCCAGGACAGUGCUGUUGAAAUGGCUUCUAUUCUCGAUGACUGUCCCAAACAACAUCAACAUUAAACACCAUUCAGAUGGGGAAGGAGUGAUUUGAAAGUAAGGCAUUUCUACUUAAAAGUAAAUGGUCACGACAAGGUGUCUAUAUGAGCACAAUAAAACACUUUCUUGGUA